rnacentral:rRNA from 1 species
GAUGAACGCUGGCGGCGUGCCUAAUACAUGCAAGUCGAGCGACGCGGGGACGGUUGAGUACCACGUGGAUAACCUCCUCUAAGACUCGGAUAACUUCGGUAAACCGUUGCUAAACCUGCUACUUGUAUAUGGAUCCGCGCUGCAUUAGCUAGUUGUUAAGGUAACGGCUUACCAAGGCAACGAUGCAUAGCCGACCUGAGAGGGUGAGCGGGCACACGGGAACGGAGACACGGUCCAGACUCCUACGGGAGGCAGCAGUAGGGAAUCGUCGGAAAUGGGCGAAAGCCUGACGGAGAAACGCCGCGUGAGUGAUGAAGGUCUUCGGAUCGUAAAACUCUGUUAUUAGGGAAGCGGUACCUAACCAGAAAGCCACGGCUAACUACGUGCCAGCAGCCGCGGUAAUUC